UGACCGUGCGAAGGUAGCAUAAUCAUUAGUCUUUUAAUUGAGGGCUCGUAUGAAUGAUUGAAUGAGGGGUAAACUGUCUUUAUUAGGUAAAUUGAAUUUAACUUUUGAGUGAAAAGGCUCAAAUGAACUAAAGGGACGAUAAGACCCUAUAAAGUUUUACAUUAAUUUUUUGAAAUAUAAGUUAUAAGUUUAAAAUUAAUUAAAAAUGAAAUGUUUACGUUGGGGCGACAAAAAUAUAAUUAAUAUUAACUGUUUUAUUAAUAGGGCCAAAGGUGUUUGGGUAGAGGACUUUUUAUUAAAGUGGUAGAGUAAGUUACUUUAGGGAUAACAGCGUAAUUUUUUUUAAGAGUUCUUAUCGACAGAAAAGUUUGCGACCUCGAUGUUGAAUUAAAGAGUCUUUACAGCGCAGAAGCUGUAGGAGAAGGUCUGUUCGACUUUUAAAUCUUUACAUGAUUUGAGUUCAAACCGGA
rnacentral:rRNA from 1 species